rnacentral:rRNA from 1 species
GAUGAACGCUGGCGGCGUGCCUAAUACAUGCAAGUCGAGCGAACGGACGAGAAGCUUGCUUUUCUGAUGUUAGCGGCGGACGGGUGAGUAACACGUGGAUAACCUAUCUAUAAGACUGGGAUAACUUCGGGAAACCGGAGCUAAUACCGGAUAAUAGUUUGAACCGCAGGGUUCAAAAGUGAAAGACGGUCUUGCUGUCACUUAUAGAUGGAUCCGCGCUGCAUUAGCUAGUUGGUAAGGUAACGGCUUACCAAGGCAACGAUGCAUAGCCGACCUGAGAGGGUGAUCGGCCACACUGGAACUGAGACACGGUCCAGACUCCUACGGGAGGCAGCAGUAGGGAAUCUUCCGCAAUGGGCGAAAGCCUGACGGAGCAACGCCGCGUGAGUGAUGAAGGUCUUCGGAUCGUAAAACUCUGUUAUUAGGGAAGAACAUAUGUGUAAGUAACUGUGCACAUCUUGACGGUACCUAAUCAGAAAGCCACGGCUAACUACGUG